UGGCUGUCAUGUUAAAAGAAGAGUUCUCCAUU
rnacentral:piRNA from 1 species